rnacentral:rRNA from 1 species
GAUGAACGCUGGCGGCGUGCUUAACACAUGCAAGUCGAACGGAAAGGCUCCUGCUUGCAGGGGUACUCGAGUGGCGAACGGGUGAGUAACACGUGGGUGAUCUGCCCUGCACUUCGGGAUAAGCCUGGGAAACUGGGCCUAAUACCGGAUAGGACGAUGGUUUGGAUGCCAUUGUGGAAAGUUUUUUCGGUGUGGGAUGGGCUCGCGGCCUAUCAGCGUGUUGGUGGGGUAAUGGCCUACCAAGGCGUCGACGGGUAGCCGGCCUGAGAGGGUGUACGGCCACAUUGGGACUGAGAUAAGGCCCAGACUCCUACGGGAGGCAGCAGUGGGGAAUAUUGCACAAUGGGCGCAAGCCUGAUGCAGCGACGCCGCGUGGGGGAUGACGGCCUUCGGGUUGUAAACCCCUUUCGCUAGGGACGAAGCGCAAGUGACGGUACCUGGAGAAGAAGCACCGGCUAACUACGUG